rnacentral:rRNA from 2 species
UGGGGAAUAUUGGGCAAUGGGCGAAAGCCUGACCCAGCAACGCCGCGUGAGGGAAGAAGGUUUUCGGAUUGUAAACCUCUGUCCUUGGGGACGAAAAAAAUGACGGUACCCAAGGAGGAAGCCCCGGCUAACUACGUGCCAGCAGCCGCGGUAAUACGUAGGGGGCGAGCGUUGUCCGGAAUUACUGGGCGUAAAGGGUGCGUAGGCGGUUGUCUAAGUCAGAUGUGAAAUCCCCGGGCUCAACUCGGGUGGUGCAUUUGAAACUGGGCAACUAGAGUGCAGGAGAGGGAAGCGGAAUUCCUAGUGUAGCGGUGAAAUGCGUAGAUAUUAGGAGGAACACCAGUGGCGAAGGCGGCUUUCUGGACUGUAACUGACGCUGAGGCACGAAAGCGUGGGGAGCAAACAGG